AAAGAAAAAGAAAGAGUCGGUCAUGUUGUCUGCUGACAAUCUCGUAUGUUUCAUCCUUAUGUUACUUGUUUAUUAUCAAGUUUAAUACUUUUAUGUCUUUUCAGUAUUGUCAGUGUGUUAAUACCUGAAUUUGCAUGAUGAAAAUAUCUUAGACUUGCACAUAAAAGAAUAACUGACGUGUGACUGCUCAUGAAAGUGUGAUGGUUAAAGAGACAACGAGACGAGUAGGAAAGAUGGAGUUUUGCACAGUGUACUGGUUCAAUUUUCAGAUACCUCAGCUGGUGAGCUUAUUGAGCCAAAUAAAUUUAACGUUAUACUAUUUCUUUCACAUCUUAUGAGUGUAUCCAUGCUUUGUAUAUUUUCUAGAACUUGCGACUAUUCUCUAUUGUUGAUUGGUUUUGCAUUUACACACAUAGAGGCACAUUUGUUUGGUACUUUGGGCCUUUUCAAGCUACCUGUCAUUAUAUAUCCAUCCAUUGCUAAACCACUUUGAGCCUAAAAAUAUUCCCUUUUCUUUUAGUGGCAUACCAAAUUAUAAGCCU
rnacentral:lncRNA from 1 species